GUUAUCGGGUAAUCGAGCGCUUAGGCGUUAGGAAAGUCCAUGCUAGCACAAGCUGAGAUGCUUGUAGUGUUUGUGCUAAACGAAAAAAUAAGUUUAGGCACCACAAUAGUGGUGACGGCGAAGAAAUGGAUGUAAAAGGCCAGAGUAUUUGUAAAGUGCAACAGUGACGAUACAUAUAGAAUAUAUAUGUGUGAAACGGGUAAACCCCUCAAGCUAGAAACCCAAAUUAUGGUAGGGGCACGGUUGUAAGAGAAAUGAAUCGAGCAACUGACGGUUAUACCGUAGAUAAAUGAUUACCGGCUUUUUUAAAGCUACAGAACAUGGCUUAUAGAU
rnacentral:RNase_P_RNA from 2 species